rnacentral:rRNA from 1 species
UACAGAGGGUGCGAGCGUUAAUCGGAAUUAUUGGGCGUAAAGGGCAUGUAGGUGGUUUUAAAAGUUUGAUGUGAAAUCCCCGGGCUUAACCUGGGAAUUGCGUUGAAUACUCUAAGACUCGAGUCGGACAGAGGGUAGUGGAAUUUCCGGUGUAGCGGUGAAAUGCGUAGAGAUCGGAAAGAACACCAGUGGCGAAGGCGGCUACCUGGGUCCAGACUGACACUGAGGUGCGAAAGCGUGGGGAGCAAACAGG